rnacentral:rRNA from 1 species
UGUGUGAAGAAGGCCUUUUGGUUGUAAAGCACUUUAAGCAGUGAAGAAGACUCCAUGGUUAAUACCCAUGGACGAUGACAUUAGCUGCAGAAUAAGCACCGGGCUAACUCUGUGCCAGCAGCCGCGGUAAUACAGAGGGUGCAAGCGUUAAUCGGAAUUACUGGGCGUAAAGCGAGCGUAGGUGGCUUGAUAAGUCAGAUGUGAAAUCCCCGGGCUUAACCUGGGAACUGCAUCUGAUACUGUUAGGCUAGAAUAGGUGAGAGGAAGGUAGAAUUCCAGGUGUAGCGGUGAAAUGCGUAGAGAUCUGGAGGAAUACCGAUGGCGAAGGCAGCCUUCUGGCAUCAUAUUGACACUGAGGUUCGAAAGCGUGGGUAGCAAACAGGAUUAGAUACCCUGGUAGUCCACGCCGUAAACGAUGUCUACUAGUCGUUGGGUCCCUUGAGGACUUAGUGACGCAGCUAACGCAAUAAGUAGACCGCCUGGGGAGUACGGCCGCAAGGUUAAAACUCAAAUGAAUUGACGGGGGCCCGCACAAGCGGUGGAGCAUGUGGUUUAAUUCGAUGCAACGCGAAGAACCUUACCUGGUCUUGACAUAUCUAGAAUCCUGCAGAGAUGCGGGAGUGCCUUCGGGAAUUAGAAUACAGGUGCUGCAUGGCUGUCGUCAGCUCGUGUCGUGAGAUGUUGGGUUAAGUCCCGCAACGAGCGCAACCCUUGUCCUUAGUUACCAGCGGGUUAAGCCGGGAACUCUAAGGAUACUGCCAGUGACAAACUGGAGGAAGGCGGGGACGACGUCAAGUCAUCAUGGCCCUUACGACCAGGGCUACACACGUGCUACAAUGGUAGGUACAGAGGGCAGCUACACAGCGAUGUGAUGCGAAUCUCAAAAAGCCUA